UACGAAGGGAGCUAGCGUUGUUCGGAAUCACUGGGCGUAAAGCGCACGUAGGCGGAUGUGUCAGUCAGGGGUGAAAUCCCGGAGCUCAACUUCGGAACUGCCUUUGAUACAGCACGUCUUGAGUCCGAUAGAGGUGGGUGGAAUUCCUAGUGUAGAGGUGAAAAUUCGUAGAUAUUGGGUGGAAACACCGGUGGCGAAAGCGGCUCUCUGGUCCGGACCUGACGCUGAGGCGCGGAAAGCGUGG
rnacentral:rRNA from 1 species